UACGUAGGGGCCUAGCGUUGUCCGGAAUUAUUGGGCGUAAAGAGCUCGUAGGCGGUUCGGCAAGUCGGAUGUGAAAUCUCCACGCUUAACCUGGGAACUGCAUCCGAUACUGGAUGGCUUGAAUCCGGGAGAGGGAUGCAGAAUUCCAGGUGUAGCGGUGAAAUGCGUAGAUAUCUGGAGGAAUACCGGUGGCGAAGGCGGCAUCCUGGACCGGCAUUGACGCUGAGUGAGCGAAAGCCAGGGGAGCAAACGGG
rnacentral:rRNA from 1 species